rnacentral:rRNA from 1 species
GACGAACGCUGGCGGCGUGCUUAACACAUGCAAGUCGAACGAAGUGGCGAACGGGUGAGUAACGCGUAAUCAACCUGCCCUUCAGAGGGGGACAACAGUUGGAAACGACUGCUAAUACCGCAUACUGAAGGAGGGGCUUGCGUUUGAUUCGCUAGUUGGGGGGGUAACGGCCCACCAAGGCGAGUAUCAGUAGCCGGGCUGAGAGGGUGAACGGCCCCAUGGGGACUUGAACACGGCCCAGACUCCGACGGGAGGCAGCAGUGGGGAAUCUUCCGCAAUGGACGAAAGUCUGACGGAGCAACGCCGCGUGAGUGAUGACGGCCUUCGGGUUGUAAAGCUCUGUUAAUCGGGACGCGGUACCGGAAUAGAAAGCCACGGCUAACUACGUGCCAGCAGCCGCGGUAAUUC